rnacentral:tRNA from 1 species
GCCCAGAUAGUUCAGUGGCAGAACGCUUUCUUGGUAAGAAAGAGGUCGAGGGUCCAAUUCCCUCUCUGGGCUCAA